rnacentral:tRNA from 1 species
AAGGCUUUAGCUUAAUUAAAGCAUCUGAGUUGCGUUCAGGAUAUGUGAGGUGGUUUCACAAGUCUUA